ACGGCCUUCGGGUUGUAAACCUCUUUCAGCAGGGAAGAAGCGAGAGUGACGGUACCUGCAGAAGAAGCGCCGGCUAACUACGUGCCAGCAGCCGCGGUAAUACGUAGGGCGCGAGCGUUGUCCGGAAUUAUUGGGCGUAAAGAGCUCGUAGGCGGCCUGUCACGUCGGGUGUGAAAGCCCGGGGCUUAACCCCGGGUCUGCAUUCGAUACGGGCAGGCUAGAGUGUGGUAGGGGAGAUCGGAAUUCCUGGUGUAGCGGUGAAAUGCGCAGAUAUCAGGAGGAACACCGGUGGCGAAGGCGGAUCUCUGGGCCAUUACUGACGCUGAGGAGCGAAAGCGUGGGGAGCGAACAGGAUUAGAUACCCUGGUAGUCCACGCCGUAAACGGUGGGAACUAGGUGUUGGCGACAUUCCACGUCGUCGGUGCCGCAGCUAACGCAUUAAGUUCCCCGCCUGGGGAGUACGGCCGCAAGGCUAAAACUCAAAGGAAUUGACGGGGGCCCGCACAAGCAGCGGAGCAUGUGGCUUAAUUCGACGCAACGCGAAGAACCUUACCAAGGCUUGACAUACGCCGGAAAACCCUGGAGACAGGGUCCCCCUUGUGGCCGGUGUA
rnacentral:rRNA from 1 species